AAGGCCGGCAAUGCACUUGUAAUCCGUCUAGUGUUGCAAGUGCCAGGGCUAUAAGCGCGAAAAUCGAAGUUCAUCAAUUGCGGGCAUUUUUCUCCGUCACUCUAAUCUUAAUGAGAGUAAAAGAGAAAGAUCCCCCGCAAUAUGCGAAUUUCGGUUUUCGCGGUAGGCCCCUAUCAGACUACAGCGGACGUGCAGACUGAGGCGCGGGGUCGUCACAUGCAUGUACAUGUCAUCCAGUCAGUGCCACCCACAAAUUGUACCUACUGUUUUUGUGGCAACCGUGUUUUGCACUACUUUACACGUCUCAUUAUUCUUUUGUGUACAGUCGACGCAAAAAUAUGUUUACACUUUUGCACCUUACUCCUUUGUAAUAAGGCGAAAAUGUGAAAAUAUCUUUGACGUCGACUGUAUAUUAUUAUGCUUUUGGUAACGGCUAUUCGCAGCCCUAUGUAAUUGUUAUUUUACCUAAUAUGAACCUUAAUGUUAAUAGCGUAAGUUACAUUUCUGGACGACGCACAUACAAAGCUUGGAUAUGAUUCCUGCAAAGUGCUAAGCUGAGCAAUAAUUUGAUUUAGCAAUCAUAGCUUCAUUUAGCGUAAUUUAUUCUCUAUAGAGUACUUGAGAGAUGUUUUCAUUGUUUAGGUAAAUUAAUGUACCUACCUACUUAUGAUACCUUCAAGUUAUAAAAAAUAUAGGUGCACACAGCAUAUAGCCACAAAAACCUGUACAGUCCGACAAUAAAGAUAUGAAAAUAAUUGAAUGCUACUGAGCCUUUGUCCAAUGUUAGUGCGUCUCACUCUCUCAUUAAAGCAAAAUGUGAGACGCAAUACACAUUAGACAAAGAAAUUGGAUAGGUGGAAUACUACCCUAAGCAGGUAUCAAUAUAUAUUAUACUACGCGACAUGUCAUAUUCACAUUAUGGAUGCAAUACACCAACGUUAUAGGUACACUAUCCAUAAACCAGAAUGACGACCGAUAUCAUAUUCAUAUUAUCAUCUCUUUCACUCCUGCUACGACUAUGCAGGUGUGAAUGAGAAGUCUUACCACCCCUGUCAUCAGUUUGGUUUGCGUAUCUACGUAUAGUUAGUGCGAACUGGGACAUUGCCACCACUUUUGGUACAAUCUGAGGUAUAAAACAUUUAGUUCCUCUUUAUUAAAUUUCUACUCCUUUUUGUCGAACUGUACUAACGGUUCUGAAGGCCUACCGCGACCCACGUUCGACGUGCUGCCUCUCUGUCGCACUUGUUAAUUCGUACGUAAGCGUGACAGGGAGGCAACACGUCAUACGUGGAUCGCGGUAGGCCCUCUGUUUGCAGUCGGGCAAGAGCGCGAGCAUAGUGAGGUGGUAACACCUACCUAUAUAACUUUCUCACUCUUUCUUUAGCAUAAUGCAAUCUGCUAUGCAAGUGCCAGAAUAGCUAACGGCUCCUCUACACGAUUGGCCAACGCCGGCCACUCCAAGGGACGCAGCCAUGCGGUAGAAUGAGAUAACAAUAUCACUUGCUCCCUCUAACGCAUAAAUGCGUCCCUUGGAGUUGCCGGCGUUGGCCCAUCGUGAAGAGGAGCCCUAAGAACCAAAGAGUAUGAGGCAGAAUUCUAUAAUAUCAUAGGCCCUAUAUAUACCUACGCAGCGUUUCGUGGCAUGUCAGCCAAUGGGGGCUCAGCAUAGAGUCAGACAGUAAAUAUGACUACCUCUCAUUCUAACAGAUAGCAUUUCCGUCGGCUAGCUAUUAGGCUAUUUAACAGUCCUGAAGCCUCCUCCACACUCGUGCGCGAAUCGCGGCGCGAAGCCGCGAACGCGAGUGUGGCGUCGAUUUUCGCAGACAGCGAAAUCGACUCCACACUUGCGUUCGCGGCUUCGCCCGCGAUUCACGCGCAUAGUCUGGAGGGGGCUAUAGAAAGAAAAGUAGAUUAACUCUUCGAUUACACACUCGUUGCUGAGAGGCAAAUAGCGAGUCCUAUACUUACACUCGCUUUGCUAUAAAAUAGUACUAUAACUCUUGUCUCUGCUAUCAUGCGUUCAUUCAGUCCGAACCGAAACGCUUCAUUCCUAUCGUUAGCUCUGUGUUGUAGCGUAUUAAAUAUUCGUUGUUAAUUAUUUUUUAUACGAAAUAUUGAUGAAUGUUGCAUUUUGUGUAGAUUUUAAAUUAUAAGUUUGCAAAAUA